rnacentral:rRNA from 1 species
CCUACGGGGGGCAGCAGUGGGGAAUAUUGGACAAUGGGGGGAACCCUGAUCCAGCCAUGCCGCGUGUGUGAAGAAGGCCCUCGGGUUGUAAAGCACUUUCAGUGAGGAAGAACGCCUGGUGGUUAAUACCCAUCAGGAAAGACAUCACUCACAGAAGAAGCACCGGCUAACUCCGUGCCAGCAGCCGCGGUAAUACGGAGGGUGCGAGCGUUAAUCGGAAUUACUGGGCGUAAAGCGCGCGUAGGUGGCUUGAUAAGCCGGUUGUGAAGCCCCGGGCUCAACCUGGGAACGGCAUCCGGAACUGUCAAGCUAGAGUGCAGGAGAGGAAGGUAGAAUUCCCGGUGUAGCGGUGAAAUGCGUAGAGAUCGGGAGGAAUACCAGUGGCGAAGGCGGCCUUCUGGACUGACACUGACACUGAGGUGCGAAAGCGUGGGUAGCAAACAGGAUUAGAUACCCUAGUAGUC